rnacentral:lncRNA from 1 species
CAGAUUGAUUAAUCUGGGAACUCCCAUUAUCAGGUUCAAGACCAUCAAUCGAGGACCUUUCAUGAGCACACAACAAACCGUUGUCAGCCUCCCCAAGAUUCGAUUCCAAAGAACCAAAAUUCUCGUUUGAAUGUUCAAUGGAACCUUCUGGACUUGUUGUCAACCCUAGUGUGGGAAAGUAGUGGUUCAAGUGAGAAGGAAACAAUCCCUGAGGAAAUUGCAUGCUUGGACCCCAAUGAGUCUCCAACAAUGGAGUGUUUGUUUGUACCAUUCCACCCAAAUUCCGUUGAAGAUAUCCCAUAGAAGCUAGAGCUGCAGGUGGUAUGGAAGAGGGCAUGUAACCAGAAGCAAAAUUCAGGGGAAGGUGGACCUCUCCAUCAAACCCA